CGUGAGAUGUUGGGUUAAGUCCGUAACGAGCGCAACCCUGUCCUUAGUUACCAGCACGUUAUGGUGGGCACUCUAAGGAGACUGCCGGUGACAAACCGGAGGAAAGGUGGGGGAUGACGUCAAGUCAUCAUGGCCCUUACGGCCUGGGCUACACACGUGCUACAAUGGUCGGUACAAAGGGUUGCCAAGCCGCGAGGUGGAGCUAAUCCCAUAAAACCGAUCGUAGUCCGGAUCGCAGUCUGCAACUCGACUGCGUGAAGUCGGAAUCGCUAGUAAUCGUGAAUCAGAAUGUCACGGUGAAUACGUUCCCGGGCCUU
rnacentral:rRNA from 1 species